GAUGAACGCUGGCGGCGUGCCUAAUACAUGCCAGUCGAGCGAACAGACGAGGAGCUUGCUCCUCUGACGUUAGCGGCGGACGGGUGAGUAACACGUGGAUAACCUACCUAUAAGACUGGGAUAACUUCGGGAAACCGGAGCUAAUACCGGAUAAUAUAUUGAACCGCAUGGUUCAAUAGUGAAAGACGGUUUUGCUGUCACUUAUAGAUGGAUCCGCGCCGCAUUAGCUAGUUGGUAAGGUAACGGCUUACCAAGGCGACGAUGCGUAGCCGACCUGAGAGGGUGAUCGGCCACACUGGAGCUGAGACACGGUCCAGACUCCUACGGGAGGCAGCAGUAGGGAAUCUUCCGCAAUGGGCGAAAGCCUGACGGAGCAACGCCGCGUGAGUGAUGAAGGUCUUCGGAUCGUAAAACUCUGUUAUUAGGGAAGAACAAAUGUGUAAGUAACUAUGCACGUCUUGACGGUACCUAAUCAGAAAGCCACGGCUAACUACGUG
rnacentral:rRNA from 1 species